CGGACGGGUGAGUAACGCGUAAGAACUUGCCCUUUAGACUGGGAUAACAGAGGGAAACUUCUGAUAAUACUGGAUAAGUUAGUAUAUCGCAUGAUAUGCAAAUGAAAGCUACGGCACUAAAGGAGAGCUUUGCGUCCUAUUAGCUAGUUGGUAAGGUAAGAGCUUACCAAGGCGAUGAUAGGUAGCCGGCCUGAGAGGGUGGACGGCCACAAGGGGACUGAGAUACGGCCCUUACUCCUACGGGAGGCAGCAGGA
rnacentral:rRNA from 1 species